GACGCAAUCUGAAGUUGGGGACUUAUGACGUAAGGAAAGGGGUUUAAAAGAAAAUGUGUCGGCGAAAGGAAAAGAAUUGGUGAGCUGAGCCGGGGCGAUGAAGUAGCGGUGCAAGCCUCUGGUGGCUCAACAGACUAAGCAGUCUGUUAUUAACACAGCUGCUUGCAAUUACUGCAAGUUCAAGUCCCACCAGGCCCAAGGUUGACUCAGCCUUCCAUCCUUUAUAAGCUUGCUUCUCACAUUUCAAAGAAGGGUAAUGCCAGGAUUGUCUGUUCUCAGUGAAGCCAUAAAGUUUCCGCAAGGCCACACGAGCAGCCUCUUCUUC